rnacentral:rRNA from 1 species
GAAACCGUGUACGUACAAGCAGUGGGAGCCUCUUAAUGGGGUGACUGCGUACCUUUUGUAUAAUGGGUCAGCGACUUAUAUUCUGUAGCAAGGUUAACCGAAUAGGGGAGCCGAAGGGAAACCGAGUCUUAACUGGGCGUUAAGUUGCAGGGUAUAGACCCGAAACCCGGUGAUCUAGCCAUGGGCAGGUUGAAGGUUGGGUAACACUAACUGGAGGACCGAACCGACUAAUGUUGAAAAAUUAGCGGAUGACUUGUGGCUGGGGGUGAAAGGCCAAUCAAACCGGGAGAUAGCUGGUUCUCCCCGAAAGCUAUUUAGGUAGCGCCUCGUGAAUUCAUCUCCGGGGGUAGAGCACUGUUUCGGCAAGGGGGUCAUCCCGACUUACCAACCCGAUGCAAACUGCGAAUACCGGAGAAUGUUAUCACGGGAGACACACGGCGGGUGCUAACGUCCGUCGUGAAGAGGGAAACAACCCAGACCGCCAGCUAAGGUCCCAAAGUCAUGGUUAAGUGGGAAACGAUGUGGGAAGGCCCAGACAGCCAGGAUGUUGGCUUAGAAGCAGCCAUCAUUUAAAGAAAGCGUAAUAGCUCACUGGUCGAGUCGGCCUGCGCGGAAGAUGUAACGGGGCUAAACCAUGCACCGAAGCUGCGGCAGCGACACUAUGUGUUGUUGGGUAGGGGAGCGUUCUGUAAGCCUGUGAAGGUGGCCUGUGAGGGUUGCUGGAGGUAUCAGAAGUGCGAAUGCUGACAUAAGUAACGAUAAAGCGGGUGAAAAGCCCGCUCGCCGGAAGACCAAGGGUUCCUGUCCAACGUUAAUCGGGGCAGGGUGAGUCGACCCCUAAGGCGAGGCCGAAAGGCGUAGUCGAUGGGAAACAGGUUAAUAUUCCUGUACUUGGUGUUACUGCGAAGGGGGGACGGAGAAGGCUAUGUUGGCCGGGCGACGGUUGUCCCGGUUUAAGCGUGUAGGCUGGUUUUCCAGGCAAAUCCGGAAAACCAAGGCUGAGGCGUGAUGACGAGGCACUACGGUGCUGAAGUGACAAAUGCCCUGCUUCCAGGAAAAGCCUCUAAGCAUCAGGUAACAUCAAAUCGUACCCCAAACCGACACAGGUGGUCAGGUAGAGAAUACCAAGGCGCUUGAGAGAACUCGGGUGAAGGAACUAGGCAAAAUGGUGCCGUAACUUCGGGAGAAGGCACGCUGAUAUGUAGGUGAAGCGACUUGCUCGUGGAGCUGAAAUCAGUCGAAGAUACCAGCUGGCUGCAACUGUUUAUUAAAAACACAGCACUGUGCAAACACGAAAGUGGACGUAUACGGUGUGACGCCUGCCCGGUGCCGGAAGGUUAAUUGAUGGGGUUAGCGGUAACGCGAAGCUCUUGAUCGAAGCCCCGGUAAACGGCGGCCGUAACUAUAACGGUCCUAAGGUAGCGAAAUUCCUUGUCGGGUAAGUUCCGACCUGCACGAAUGGCGUAAUGAUGGCCAGGCUGUCUCCACCCGAGACUCAGUGAAAUUGAACUCGCUGUGAAGAUGCAGUGUACCCGCGGCAAGACGGAAAGACCCCGUGAACCUUUACUAUAGCUUGACACUGAACAUUGAGCCUUGAUGUGUAGGAUAGGUGGGAGGCUUUGAAGUGUGGACGCCAGUCUGCAUGGAGCCGACCUUGAAAUACCACCCUUUAAUGUUUGAUGUUCUAACGUUGGCCCCUAAUCGGGGUUGCGGACAGUGUCUGGUGGGUAGUUUGACUGGGGCGGUCUCCUCCUAAAGAGUAACGGAGGAGCACGAAGGUUGGCUAAUCCUGGUCGGACAUCAGGAGGUUAGUGCAAUGGCAUAAGCCAGCUUGACUGCGAGCGUGACGGCGCGAGCAGGUGCGAAAGCAGGUCAUAGUGAUCCGGUGGUUCUGAAUGGAAGGGCCAUCGCUCAACGGAUAAAAGGUACUCCGGGGAUAACAGGCUGAUACCGCCCAAGAGUUCAUAUCGACGGCGGUGUUUGGCACCUCGAUGUCGGCUCAUCACAUCCUGGGGCUGAAGUAGGUCCCAAGGGUAUGGCUGUUCGCCAUUUAAAGUGGUACGCGAGCUGGGUUUAGAACGUCGUGAGACAGUUCGGUCCCUAUCUGCCGUGGGCGCUGGAGAACUGAGGGGGGCUGCUCCUAGU